CCCCUCUCAGAGUCGCACAUGGAGAGUGUUCAGUACUCUACCAAUCUCGGCUACAGGAGGGAGAGUCAAACAGAGGCAUACCCAUUCCAUUCUUAGCUUGGACGGUGGCUAGCAAGUGGAAGGCAAUCUGUUACAAGU